rnacentral:rRNA from 1 species
GACGAACCGUGCGAACGUUGUUCGGAAUUACUGGGCGUAAAGCGCACGUAGGCGGCUUGGUAUGUCGGGUGUGAAAUCCCCGGGCUCAACCUGGGAACCGCAUCCGAAACUGCCUUGCUCGAGUAUGGGAGAGGGAAGUGGAAUUUCCGGUGUAGCGGUGAAAUGCGUAGAUAUCGGAAGGAACAUCAGUGGCGAAGGCGACUUCCUGGACCAAUACUGACGCUCAGGUGCGAAAGCGUGGGGAGCAAACAGG